rnacentral:antisense_RNA from 1 species
CUUGAUCGACCCCAACCACAACGGUUGUUCCGGAUCACGUUGGCCGUAGGUCGCCAGCAACGCCUGCGCCUC